rfam:Sphaerulina musiva SO2202 unplaced genomic scaffold SEPMTscaffold_7, whole genome shotgun sequence.
GGGCUUGUAGCACAGUGGUAGCGCGCACGCUUUGCAAGGGACAGGGCGCAGACCCAUCCAAAUUGCUGCGUGAGGUCUUGGGUUCGAUCCCCAACUGGUCCA